UUUUAACAAUGGAAAAAAUAUAUAACAAUGAAUAAAAAGAUACACAUCAUAUGCUUAGAUUUUUAGUUGUUUCCUUUUCUAAUAAAAGUAUUGUUAUCAUUGGCGAAUCAUGCUAAAUAUACUCAAAACUCAUAUUAAGUGACGUCUGUAUGUCAUAAUAUUCAGUCAUCUUGAGUUUUGAAACUGCUGUAACACAGAACACAAA
rnacentral:lncRNA from 1 species